CACGUAGGGCGCAAGCGUUGUCCGGAAUUAUUGGGCGUAAAGAGCUCGUAGGCGGCUUGUUGCGUCGGAUGUGAAAGCCCGGGGCUUAACUCCGGGUCUGCAUUCGAUACGGGCAGGCUAGAGUUCGGUAGGGGAGAUCGGAAUUCCUGGUGUAGCGGUGAAAUGCGCAGAUAUCAGGAGGAACACCGGUGGCGAAGGCGGAUCUCUGGGCCGAUACUGACGCUGAGGAGCGAAAGCGUGGGGAGCGAACAGG
rnacentral:rRNA from 1 species